CCCUUAGAUGUUCUGGGCCGCACGCGCGCUACACUGAUGCAUUCAACGAGUUUCUUCCUGGUCCGAGAGGAAUGGGUAACCUUUUGAAAGUGCAUCGUGAUAGGGAUAGACUAUUGCAAUUAUUGGUCUUCAACAAGGAAUUCCUAGUAGACGUAGUUCAUCAGACUGCAUCGAUUACGUCCCUGCCCUUUGUACACACCGCCCGUCGCUCCUACCGAUUGAAUGCUCAGGUGAGCCAUUCGGACUUUCAUCAUGCUGGUUUCCAGUUUUGAUGAAGGAAAGUCUUGCGAACCUUAUCAUUUAGAGGAAGGAGAAGUCGUAACA
rnacentral:rRNA from 1 species